rnacentral:rRNA from 1 species
AUACGGAGGGGGCUAGCGUUGUUCGGAAUUACUGGGCGUAAAGCGCGCGUAGGCGGAUUGGUCAGUUGGGGGUGAAAUCCCGAGGCUUAACCUCGGAACUGCCUUCAAAACUGCCAGUCUUGAGUCCGAGAGAGGUGAGUGGAAUUCCUAGUGUAGAGGUGAAAUUCGUAGAUAUUAGGAAGAACACCAGUGGCGAAGGCGGCUCACUGGCCCGGUACUGACGCUGAGGCGCGAAAGCGUGGGGAGCAAACAGAAUUAGAAACCCCAGUAGUCC